rnacentral:misc_RNA from 1 species
AAAUGCGAUAAGUAAUGUGAAUUGCAGAAUUCAGUGAAUCAUCGAAUCUUUGAACGCACCUUGCGCUCCUUGGUAUUCCUUGGAGCAUGCCUGUUUGAGUAUCAUGAAAUCUUCAAAGUAAAUCUUUUGUUAACUCAAUUGGUUUCUACUUUGGUAUUGGAGGUCUUUGCAGCUUCACACCUGCUCCUCUUUGUUCAUUAGCUGGAUCUCAGUGUUAUGCUUGGUUCCACUCGGCGUGAUAAGUUAUCUAUCACUGAGGACACUGUAAAAGGUGGCCAAGGUAAAUGCAGAUGAACCGCUUCUAAUAGUCCAUUGACUUGGACAAUACUUUUAUGAUCUGAUCUCAAAUCAGGUAGGACUACCCGCUGAACUUAAGC